rfam:Triticum aestivum genome assembly, contig: Triticum_aestivum_CS42_TGACv1_scaffold_592686_7BS
CUAAUACUCCCUCCGUCCGAAAAUACUUGUCAUCAAAAUGGAUAAAAAAAAGAUGUAUCUGGACUAAAAUACAUCUAGAUACAUCCCCUUUUAUCUAGUUUGAAGACAAGUAUUUCCGGACGGAGGGAGUAUGAU